GGGCCCGCACAAGCGGUGGAGCAUGUGGUUUAAUUCGACGCAACGCGAAGAACCUUACCUGGGCUUGAACUGCAGUGGACCGGUGCAGAGAUGUGCCUUUUCGCAAGAACUGCUGCAGAGGUGCUGCAUGGCUGUCGUCAGCUCGUGUCGUGAGAUGUUGGGUUAAGUCCCGCAACGAGCGCAACCCUUACCCGUAGUUGCCAGCGCGUCAUGGCGGGAACUCUACGGGGACUGCCCGGGUUAACCGGGAGGAAGGUGGGGAUGAUGUCAAGUCCUCAUGGCCCUUAUGUCCAGGGCUACACACGUGCUACAAUGGGCGAUACAAACCGUUGCAAAGUCGCGAGAUGGAGCUAAUCGGAGAAAGUCGUCCUCAGUUCGGAUUGUAGUCUGCAACUCGACUACAUGAAGGUGGAAUCGCUAGUAAUCGUGUAUCAGAAUGAUACGGUGAAUACGUUCCCGGGCCUU
rnacentral:rRNA from 1 species